AUAUAUAACGGCUCGCGAAGAUGAUUAUUGUAAGAGCGCGCCCGCUUCAAGGUGGGAGUCAGCACGGUGUUAUCCCCGGAGGGGGAUGAUGACGUGGUUGAUAAUGCGGGGCACAUCGCGUCAGGCGGGUAACCGAGCAUCGCUAUAGCUCUAGCUCUCGCCAGUGAAGGGAUCACGCGCUUUUUUUUCUUAUCUUUUCAACGCGCGAUCCCGUUCAUACUGA
rnacentral:SRP_RNA from 1 species